rnacentral:rRNA from 1 species
CCUUAGUAGCUGCGAGCGAACAGGGAAAAGCCCAGCACUGAAUCCCGGGGGCCUCGCUCCCAGGGAAAUGUAGUGUUUGGGAGGGUUCAUAUACCCGAUACCGUCGCACCGCGUCCAAGUCCAUCUUGAAAGAGGCCACGGUCCCGAGAGGGUGCCAGGCCCGUGGUAGGCCGGUGCAGGUGUUGGGUGAACCUCUCCUCAGAGUCAGGUUGCUUGAGAGUGCAGCCCUAAGCGGGUGGUAAACUCCAUCUAAGGCUAAAUACAACCACGAGACCGAUAGCGAACAAGUACCGUGAGGGAAAGUUGAAAAGAACUUUGAAGAGAGAGUUCAAGAGUACGUGAAACCGCUCAGGGGUAAACGGAAAAGACCCGAAAUUUCCGAAAAGGGAGAUUCACGUCUUCUCGCGGGUCCGACGCAUCCGCUCCUCUCCGACGGCCCUGCCCCCGUCCGGACUCGUCCGGCGCGUGGCGGUGGGGUUGCAGAGGGCGGUGUGGAGGCCCGCGGCGGACCGCACUUCUCCCUUAGUAGGACGUCGUGACCCGUCCGGCCAUGGUCUUACGGUCGCAGGGUGGAGCCUGUCCGCUCGUGCUUGCACGUCUUCGGGCAGACCCCCGCGUCCCGGCCAUGGGCAACACGCCGGUCGGUAUCGAAUGACAGUGUUCGGCCUCUCACCGGCGGAGGAAACUCCUGCCAGUGAGCGCGAACGCGGCCCUUGACAAGGUGCCGGGAUGUUUCAGUCAAGGCGGGCUUCCGUACCGUCUGGCUGCUCUCGGCCCUGUUGGUCUCGGUGCUCUCUCGCCGGCCUAUUCACACUUGUCUACGGCGAAUCAGAAACCCAAAGGCGAAAUGAAAGUGAAGGGAACUUCGCGUUUCUGAGGGAGGAUGAGUCGGUUACCCGCAAGGGGCCACUCCGCACUCCCGGGGCGUCUCUUUCUCAUUGCGAGUGGAGGCGCACCCAGAGCGUACACGCUGAUACCCGAAAGAUGGUGAACUAUGCCUGGCCAGGACGAAGCCAGGGGAAACCCUGGUGGAGGUCCGCAGCGAUUCUGACGUGCAAAUCGAUCGUCGGAGCUGGGUAUAGGGGCGAAAGACCAAUCGAACCAUCUAGUAGCUGGUUCCCUCCGAAGUUUCCCUCAGGAUAGCUUGCGCUCACGUGAACGAGUCUCAUCCGGUAGAGCGAAUGAUUAGAGGCCUUGGGGUCGAAACGACCUCAACCUAUUCUCAAACUCCAAAUAGAUGAGAACUCCGGCUUUCUUGAACUUUGUUUUUGAAGCCGGG